rnacentral:rRNA from 1 species
AUACGGAGGAUGCAAGCGUUAUCCGGAUUUAUUGGGUUUAAAGGGUGCGUAGGCGGGACUGUAAGUCAGGGGUGAAAUACUGCAGCUUAACUGUAGCAUUGCCUUUGAAACUGCCGUUCUUGAGUACAGUUGAGGUAGGCGGAAUGUGGUGUGUAGCGGUGAAAUGCAUAGAUAUACCACAGAACGCCGAUUGCGAAGGCAGCUUACUAAGCUGUUACUGACGCUGAGGCACGAAAGCGUGGGGAUCAAACAGGAUUAGAUACCCUGGUAGUCCACGCAGUAAACGAUGAUAACUAACCGUCGGCGAUAGAAUGUCGGUGGCCAAGCGAAAGCGAUAAGUUAUCCACCUGGGGAGUACGGUCGCAAGAAUGAAACUCAAAUGAAUUGACGGGG